UCCGGGGUGAUGCUUGCAUAAGGGGCAACGCACGGGACACGCUGUUGUUCUCCGCACUCCCCUGGGAAGGUCUGAGACAGGAGCCCGCACAGGCUCAGGCCCUAGCAGGGUCCCGACCGAGAGGUCGGUCGGUUCACAAGCAAGCCACGCCGCGGGGUCUGCUGUAAGGUGGGAUGCUCUGGCACGCACUGCGUGUCUUGGGCGGACCGGAGGGCCCCGGUCGGACGUUGGAACGAACCGUGGCUGGCGAUCUGAGCUCGAUUUGCAAGGUGCCCGGUGUUCGCAGGGCAUAACUCAAUUCAGACUACUCCACUUCGGA
rnacentral:RNase_P_RNA from 2 species